AGCGAACGCUGGCGGCAGGCCUAAUACAUGCAAGUCGAACGGUCUCUUCGGAGGCAGUGGCGGACGGGUGAGUAACGCGUGGGAAUAUGCCCUUUGGUACGGAACAACUGAGGGAAACUUCAGCUAAUACCGUAUGUGCCCUUCGGGGGAAAGAUUUAUCGCCAUUGGAGUAGCCCGCGUUGGAUUAGGUAGUUGGUGGGGUAAAGGCCUACCAAGCCUACGAUCCAUAGCUGGUCUGAGAGGAUGAUCAGCCACACUGGGACUGAGACACGGCCCAGACUCCUACGGGAGGCAGCAGUAGGGAAUCUUGCGCAAUGGGCGAAAGCCUGACGCAGCCAUGCCGCGUGAAUGAUGAAGGUCUCAGGAUUGUAAAAUUCUUUCACCGGGGAAGAUAAUGACGGUACCCGGAGAAGAAGCCCCGGCUAACUCGUGCCAGCAGCCGACGGUAAAGUAUCGU
rnacentral:rRNA from 1 species